rnacentral:lncRNA from 1 species
GACAAAUCCUAUUUUAAAUAAGGAAGUACCUACUGUGACAGAGUUCGACAGGAUCAGUGAUACUGACAGCCAAAACUCGCUCGACUCGAAUGAAGUCGGUACGGAAGGCCUGGUUCCUGAUUACCAGAGGACAGAGGAGAAGGAGGCGGUGAUGGACAUGUUCACGGAGGACUUCUACCAGCCCGACAGAGACAUAGAUCCUCUUCAGAUGGUGCUAUCAAUGCACGAGAUGGAAAGCAAAGAACGAACUGGUCUUAUGGAAGAGAUGGAAGAGGAAGAGGAUGAUAGAAACUCUCAAUUCGAUUUCGAAAACCCAGGCUUCCAACUGGAAACUACUGAGGUUUAGUGAUGAAUAGUAACUUCUAGUGUGAAACUGCAUAAUCAGAUAUCUUAUACCGUGUGAAAUAAUCAUUUUGUGAUCGAGCAAACUGUUGUUUUAGAUACUCAUCUUUGGAUUAAAUGAAAUCAAUACAUAUUUGUGUUUAGGCUGGCGAUACGCAUGCACUUUAAAGUUUAUUAGUGACUAUCGACAUACAUUGAUCAAUACAAAUAUAUCUCACACGCACGGGGAAUACAAACUUCGCAUUUGACAUUUGCUGGCCGUGAAAUUUUAAGAGUUCUCUCCCCUCUAAUAACAUUGGUUUUAUCACUUACUGUUGUCAUUUCUUGUGUUCUUUUGUUCCUUUAAGUGUGUCAAAAACGAAUUCAGUAAGUUCAAAUUUCCAAUCUUGUGUAUUUCUAUGCGUGUCGUAAAUGCUUGGAUAUUAUUCAAAUUUCCUUUCAUUAAAGUUAUUUGCUUGUAUUUUCGUAUAUAAUUCUUAUCGUAUAAAGAUAGUCAGUGUGUACAUCAACUAUCAUAAGAGCUAAUGUUUAGGUAAGCGUUGUAGACAAAUGCCUGUCAUCACUCUACCAAUUCAUGUCUUAACAUGUAACAUGCUUCGUUAAGUAUGGUCCUUUGCCUGACACAUUGCCACUUCAUGUGUGUAAUAGGUAACAUAAUGUACUUCGUUAAGUGUGUUUUUUUGCCUGACACUUUAUGACUGUACAUGGUAACAUACCCUGUCAUACAAUUUAUAUAGUGAUACAUGUCCGCUAACUAAUGAUGUCAUCAGUUUAUAUGAAGCCUUCAAUGCCGUUCUAAGUCUGUCAAUAUAUGAAGCCUUAUCAAGAUAACAUACAGCCUGUGCGUUGUUCUGUGCCAGUUUCGCAAGAAAUUUUGGAUGCAGCAUGUAGUUGAGCCCGAAUCAGUUUGCAUCAAAUGAAGCCUAAAUAGGUAUUCAGUAGUAUCUAAAAAAAAAUAUUCAAAUGGGACAUAUUUUUUCUUACAAAUGAUUCUUGUUUCUUCAUGUUUGUCUUAUCAAUGAAUGUUGUGUGGUUGGAAGUUUGAUUGAUUGAAAUGAUAUAAAUAAAAAGAUGCAUAUAUAUUGAUAUCCAACCUGGUAAUAUUGUUGUUAUUGUUAUGAUAAUAUUACGUUUAGAAAGCCAUGCUUGUCUUCUCAUAAAUAAUUGCAUGCAUCAAGAAACUGUGCAUCAGAACAUUUAAUUUUAAUAAUGCAUGUCCUGUGUGUUUAAAAUAUUUCAUUGCGUUUCGUUUCUUCCUAACGUUUUGCUUUUUCCAUAUUUCAUUUUUUCAUUAUCUCUCAUGUCUUAAGUAGUUUGUUGUCUAUCGUGUCUUCACUAGAUAUUGUCGUGUUUCCUUACUACAUAAACUCACUAGAUAUUAUCGUGUUUCCUACCUACAUAAACAAUCGUUUCUUCAUCAAUCUAUAUCUGCCCAUAGUAUAUUUUUCUUUUGUUUCUUUAUCAAUAGAUCUUUUGUAUUCAAAAUUGAAAACUCAAAUAAUGAAGCCUAUGACACUGUAUUUUAUAAUAUUAAAAAUAAUAACAAUUGUGAUAUAGAGAAAAACUUUUUUUAUUAAAAAGGACGGAUACGACCAAUAUCAACACUGCAAAACCACUUUUAGGAGAAAAACGACACGAGAAAACGAUUACCAUUCAUAUGUCUGCUAUAAAAAUGUUUAAGACACUGGCGUCAUAUAUGAAAGCAUGUUAUUGUUUUCUUUUAUUGACAAAUUUAAAUCAUGUCAUCCUUUUUGGUGCUUACAUUUCUAGCUAUUUUGCACAAUUUGAUGAUUCAUAUAAUGUCAUUUUGACAUCAGAAUGUAGUUGAAUAACUUUCGUUUUACCUUUAGAACAUAUCAAUGUUGAAUCAGCUUCUUGAAAAUUUGCUGAACUGAACAUCGAGUCAUAUCAAUAUACAUGCCAAAAAGAACGGGAAACUUUUAAAAUUGUUCAUUGAAAAUGGUUAUCGUUAUAGAUGGUUAAUUGAAAUAGCACAAAAUGAUUAUCGUUAUAAAUAGUUAACUGAAACAGCACAAAAUG